GACAGAGGGUGCAAACGUUGUUCGGAAUUACUGGGCGUAAAGCGCGUGUAGGCUGCUUGGAAAGUCGGAUGUGAAAGCCCUGGGCUCAACCCAGGAAGUGCAUUCGAAACUUCCGAGCUCGAGUUCUGGAGAGGAUAGCGGAAUUCUCGGUGUAGAGGUGAAAUUCGUAGAUAUCGAGAGGAACACCGGUGGCGAAGGCGGCUAUCUGGACAGUAGCUGACACUGAGGCGCGACAGCGUGGGGAGCAAACAGG
rnacentral:rRNA from 1 species